GUAAUCUCCUAGCAAGGGUGAUGCAGAGUUCUAGAUGAGAGUUUCCAGUUGCGAGGGUUUGGAUUUGGGGAGGUUUUGGAACUUUGUUGGUGGGUAUUUGAGAUUUGGUCAACCCUCCAAUUGGUGUGGAGCUUCUACCUCUUUGGGGUUUACAGCUCUCCAGGGCUUCCAGAAGAAUCCACCUUUAUGGCCGAGGGACUAAGCCUCCACAGUUAUGGAUGUUCUGACCUUCACAGUUCUGGAUGAGAAUCACCGGUGUCCACUCUGGAGUGCAAACACGCUUGCGUCGCUUCAGCCAGUCUUCACAAUGGCUCUUAUGGGGUGCCAGCUAUUAUGGGAUUUUUUCCCCCUCUCCCUUGGGAUCCAGAGGCUGAGCAGUCACACUGAAUGGUUCUUCGUGCCUGUUUCAGCCUGUCUGGUUCAGGCAGCCUCUGGGAAUUCUUUCUUUGGCUGCUGGUAACUUCCAGUCCCCUGUCUCUGUUCACAGCUGCGAAAGCUGCAGGGGAACAGCUUUCAGCGCCAGGAACCGUUUCCUCACCUGCCCGGGAGUUGUCUUGUCGCAGAGGGUGGUGGACAAGGGGCUCCCUCCCGGGGACCACUUUCACCCCAGCGGACCUCCUUGGAUUUGUGUUCAUGGGGAGUUACUUACCCCACCAACUCAGUGUCCCUUCAAACAGCCUCCCUCGUAAACCCUGGGUUUCCCUAAGUCAGUUUUUCUUUAAUUUGUGUAGCGGGCACCCAUGUGUGUCCCCUGUCUGCACUCCCUGCUCAGCUGUGCUGGUGGCCAGGUUUUCUUUAUGUUCAAGUUACUGACUUUCUGUAGCUCUGUGAUUUUUUUUUUCCUUUACAGUUUAGUAUUAUGUUUCAGUGACGUUCCUUUGGUACUCACCUUGCUGAAGCACCAUCUUCUCACUUUGUAAGUCUGGUGCUGAGGAACCGCUGGGCGGUGCUUCGCUUCUCUACUCCGCCAUCUUGUCUGGCUCCUUGAUUAGCAUUUAAAUAAGCAGACUUUGGGGGAAGUGGAUUCCUCGCCAGAGUGUGGGUGGGCCUCGACCCAUCAGUUGAAGGCUUUAAGAAAAAGAGGAAUGCGAUCCCAAGAGAAGGAAGAAAUCUUGCCUCCAGGGUAUACAGCAACUCAUCCUUCCACCUGGAAGCUUUCCCUGCAGUUUGGUCUUAGCUACUCACAGAGGUAAG
rnacentral:lncRNA from 1 species